GAUGAACGCUGGCGGCGUGCCUAAUACAUGCAAGUCGAGCGAACAGACGAGAGUGCUUGCACUCUCUGACGUUAGCGGCGGACGGGUGAGUAACACGUGGGUAGCCUACCUAUAAGACUGGGAUAACUUCGGGAAACCGGAGCUAAUACCGGAUAAUAUUUAGCUUCGCAUGAAGCAAUAGUGAAAGACGGUUCUGCUGUCACUUAUAGAUGGACCCGCGGUGUAUUAGCUAGUUGGUGAGGUAACGGCUCACCAAGGCAACGUUACAUAGCCGACCUGAGAGGGGGAUGGGCCAAGCGGGGAAGGGGACCCGCCCAAGGCUCCUAGGGGGGGCAGCGGUAGGGGAUUUUCCGCAAUGGAGGAAAGUUUGACGGACAAACGCCGCGUGGGUGAAGAAGUUUUUGGGAUUGAAAAACUCUUUUGUAGGGGAAAAAAAAUUACGGUAGUAACUGAACGUACCUUGGCGGACCCUUACCAAAAACCCCCGGCUAACUACG
rnacentral:rRNA from 1 species